rnacentral:rRNA from 1 species
GAUGAACGCUGGCGGCGUGCCUAAUACAUGCAAGUCGAGCGAACGGACGAGAAGCUUGCUUCUCUGAUGUUAGCGGCGGACGGGUGAGUAACACGUGGAUAACCUACCUAUAAGACUGGGAUAACUUCGGGAAACCGGAGCUAAUACCGGAUAAUAUUUUGAACCGCAUGGUUCAAAAGUGAAAGACGGUCUUGCUGUCACUUAUAGAUGGAUCCGCGCUGCAUUAGCUAGUUGGUAAGGUAACGGCUUACCAAGGCAACGAUGCAUAGCCGACCUGAGAGGGUGAUAGGCGACACUGGAGCUGGGACACGGUCCAGACGCCUACGGGAGGCAGCAGUAGGGAAUCUUACGCAAUGGGCGAAAGCCUGACGGAGCAACGCCGCGUGAGUGAUGAAGGUCUUCGGAUCGUAAAACUCUGUUAUUAGGGAAGAACAUAUGUGGAAGUAACUGUGCACAUCUUGACGGUACCUAAUCAGAAAGCCACGGCUAGCUACGUG